rnacentral:rRNA from 1 species
UACGGAGGGUGCAAGCGUUAUCCGGAUUCACUGGGUUUAAAGGGUGCGUAGGCGGGCAGGUAAGUCAGUGGUGAAAUCUCCGGGCUUAACCCGGAACUGCCGUUGAUACUAUCUGUCUUGAAUAUCGUGGAGGUAAGCGGAAUAUGUCAUGUAGCGGUGAAAUGCUUAGAUAUGACAUAGAACACCCAUUGCGAAGGCAGCUUACUACACGAUCAUUGACGCUGAGGCACGAAAGCGUGGGGGAUCAAACAGG